rnacentral:rRNA from 1 species
GACGAACGCUGGCGGCGUGCUUAACACAUGCAAGUCGAACAGUGGCGAACGGGUGAGUAACACGUGAGUAACCUGCCCUCCACUUUGGGCUAACUCCGUGAAAUCGGGGCUAAUACUGCAUAGUGGGGGAUGGGCUCGCGGCCUAUCAGUUUGUUGGUCAGGUAGGGGUCACCAAGGCGGGACGGGUAGCCGGCCUGAGAGGGCGACCGGCCACACUGGGACUGGGACACGGCCCGGACUCAUACGGGAGGCAGCAGUGGAGAAUAGUGCACAAUGGGCGAAAGCCUGAUGCAGCGACGCCGGGUGGGGGAGGACGGCCUUCGGGUUGUAAGCCUCUUUCAGCAAGGAAGCGGUACUUGCAGAAGAAGCGCCGGCUAACUACGUGCCAGCAGCCGCGGUAAUUC